UGAUCAAGAGAACAAGAGCACACGGUGGAUGCCUUGGCGCCAAGAGCCGAUGAAGGACGUGGGCGGCUGCGAUAAGCCCGGGGGAGAUGCUGACCAAUCGCUGAUCCCGGGAUUUCCGAAUGGGGAAACCUACGCGUGGUAAUGCGCGCGUGUUCCCGCCUGAAUACAUAGGGCGGGUAAUGGCAAGCUGGGGAACUGAAACAUCUUAGUACCCAGAGGAAAGGAAAGAAACCUCGAUUCCCUGAGUAGUGGCGAGCGAAAAGGGAAGAGCCCAAACCUCGACGACGUGAUAGACGGCAGUCGUUGUCGUCGGGGGGUUGUAGGGCCUGUCUCGAUCCGUCUGCCGGCGGGUCGGCGAGUUACAAAGUUGUGCGUUAGUCGAAGUGAAUGGAAAUUCACACCGCAGAGGGU
rnacentral:rRNA from 1 species